rnacentral:rRNA from 1 species
UACGGGGGGAGCAAGCGUUGUUCGGAUUUACUGGGCGUAAAGGGCGCGUAGGCGGUCAGCACAAGUCAGUUGUGAAAUCUCCGGGCUUAACUCGGAAAGGUCAACUGAUACUGGAUGGCUUGAGUUUGGGAGAGGGAUGCGGAAUUCCAGGUGUAGCGGUGAAAUGCGUAGAUAUCUGGAGGAACACCGGUGGCGAAGGCGGCAUCCUGGACCAACACUGACGCUGAGUGAGCGAAAGCCAGGGGAGCAAACGGG